CCUACGGGUGUCAGCAGUGGGGGAUAUUGCACAAUGGGGGAAACCCUGAUGCAGCGACGCCGCGUGGGUGAAGAAGCGCCUCGGCGCGUAAAGCCCUGUCAGCAGGGAAGAAAAUUACGGUACCUGUACAAGAAGCCCCGGCUAACUACGUGCCAGCACCCGCGGUAAUACGUAGGGGGCAAGCGUUAUACGGAUUUACUGGGUGUAAAGGGGGCGCAGUCGGCGAUGCAAGCCAGGAGUGAAUGUCCGGGGCCCAACCCCGGGAUUGCUCUUGGAACUGUGAGGCUAGAGUUCAGGAGGGGCAGGCGGAAUUCCUGGUGUAGCGGUGAAAUGCGUAGAUAUCAGGAGGAACACCGGUGGCGAAGGCGGCCUGCUGGACUGCAACUGACGUUGAGGCCCGAAAGCGUGGGGAGCAAACAGGAUUAGAUACCCCAGUAGUC
rnacentral:rRNA from 1 species